CCACAGGGGAGCUUGUAUACAGGCUGAGAGGAAGGUGCGACCUUCGACCCUUUUAACCUGAUUUGGAUAAUGCCAACGUAGGGAAUCCCAUAUC
rnacentral:ncRNA from 1 species